UACGAAGGGGGCUAGCGUUGCUCGGAAUUACUGGGCGUAAAGCGCACGUAGGCGGCUCUUUAAGUCGGGGGUGAAAUCCUGGAGCUCAACUCCAGAACUGCCUUCGAUACUGUAGAGCUUGAGUUCGGGAGAGGUGAGUGGAACUGCGAGUGUAGAAGUGAAAUUCGUAGAUAUUCGCAAGAACACCAGUGGCGAAGGCGGCUCACUGGCCCGAUACUGACGCUGAGGUGCGAAAGCGUGGGGAGCAAACAGG
rnacentral:rRNA from 1 species